rnacentral:lncRNA from 1 species
GGCGGGUGUGGCGGGAGCAGGGAGCUGCUUGCUGCGGCGUCCGCGGUCCCUAGGCAGCUCGCCCGGGCUGGCGGCGGCCUAGUGCUGUGGACGACUCAAGUUCGAGUCGGAGGCUGAAAAGCCGUCACCUUGUGGAGGCCAGACGUGCCUUUGGAAGCAUUUUCUGAGGUGGUUUUGUGAACCACCGGCGACUGUUUUGGUUUCGCCGCGUCCCUUGGAAGCCCCCGCGGCGUCCCUCACAGAGUUUCUGCGAACGGAACGCCCCGCAGGCGGGCGGGCUUUGUCGCCGCAAAAAGAGUGGAGGCUGACGCGGUGGCUCCCGCCUAUAAUCUCAGCGCCGAGGGAGGCCG